UCCUUUCCAGAACCCAAGACCAUGGCAGUAGGUUUAAGUACAAUUGUGAAUUUACCAGAUUG
rnacentral:sRNA from 1 species